AGGUUAGCUAGCUUAGCCUAAGGCGGGGGGCUCACAGUCAGAGUUUCAGUAAAAUUGAGCUCAAAAACAGCGAAAUAAGCGAAUUCUGACUAAAACUGCGGGAUAUCUGACAGAAAUGUGAGGGCUAGCGGUCUUCUGGCGUCGGUCUGGAGUCGAUACGGAGGGCGGGGGAGUCGCAGCGGAUCACCGAGCCCCGACUGCCGCUGCUACUGCUGCUGGGUCGGGGUCGUUCGGCUAGCGGGAGGGUCCUGUCAGCGCGGAGAGAGCCGUUAGCUGGUUAGCUAGUUAGCUUAGCCAGAUGUUGCUCACUAGCAGGAAGUGCACUCCCCCGUUUCCCACAGUAGAGAGAAGAGUGCAUGACGGAGCUGAGGGAAGAAAAUAAACAGAGCUAGCUAACAUCUAACAACCUCAAUUUAACACAGUUAACCAGUGACAGAAAUUAUUUAUACUGUAUUCAGACCCCUUGAUCUUAAAUUUCUCCUUACAACCACAAACUUAAAUGUGUUUUUUUGAGGUUUUAAGUGAUAAACUAACACAAAGUAGCACAUACACGGUUUUCAACGUUUAUCAAAUAAAAAUCUGAAAAUUG